rnacentral:rRNA from 1 species
CCUGACGACCAUAGCGAGUUGGUACCACUCCUUCCCAUCCCGAACAGGACCGUGAAACGACUCUGCGCCAAUGAUAGUGCGGAUCCCCGUGUGAAAGUAGGACAUCGUCAGGC